rnacentral:misc_RNA from 1 species
GCCGGUCUAAGCAUCUCACCUGCGUUGGCCACGCUCCGCUCAUGGCCCAGCAGCGCCCGCUCCUCCCACCCCCGUCGUCGCCUCGGAAUUUCAUGCAUCGGCUGGGACCCUGAAGGCAUCCUCGCCCCCCCGCAGGGCGGCCACAUCGCCCGCAUGGAGUUCAAGCGCCGCCUCGAGAAGGACUCCGACGCGCGGGAGGCCUUCGACCGCGAAAUCCGCGAGGAGCAGGAGCGUCGCCGGGCGCGCCGGGAGGCACGUGUGGUGCCGGAGACG